CGUGUAGGCGGAUACUUUAGUCGAUUGUGAAAGCCCCGGGCUUAACCUGGGAAUUGCAGUCGAUACUGGGUAUCUUGAGUAUGGUAGAGGAAAGUGGAAUUCUCGGUGUAGUGGUUAAAUACGUAGAUAUCGAGAGGAACACCAGUGGCGAAGGCGGCUUUCUGGCCCAAUACUGACGCUGAGGCGCGAAAGCGUGGGGGAGCAAACA
rnacentral:rRNA from 1 species